ACUGAUCGAUGAAUGCAAA
rnacentral:miRNA from 1 species